GCUCACGGCGAGGGCAAGGAUGCUGCGGGAUGCUGGAAAGGUGGCUGGCACGGCAGGCAAUAAGCGAACGAACUGCGCAAAUUUACGAUAACAGCAGCCGCAGCAGCAACAGCAACAACAACCACCUCUACUACAACAACCAUGCGAUGUGGAAUAUCCUCAGCACCUUCACGGUCCGAUGGUUUGUUUUCGAUCGCGCCGUCUGCCAAGAGACUGCGGGACUUGAUUUGACCAAAAUACUUACGGGUCUCUUUCGCUUUGCAGCGACAUGGCUUGCCAGGGCUGCACACCGCUGGCUCUCCUCGGGCACGAAAGACUUGCGUGCAGCUUACCACUCAGAGUACGCAGAUCGAAGCAGAUCGUUUUUACCAUGAGAGCGGAUCGUUUUACACCAGCCCUGGUAGGCAAUGUAAAACUCGCUAUUGAGCCAGAGGAUCGGCUAGGUGUUUCAUCAAAUGCUCUACAUCAAAUUGAACUUGGAUGGUGGACAUUGAAGCCUGCUGUUCCUUUUUAAAUAAGGUAUUCUCCAUUCCAUAUUUUAUUUUAUUUAAUACCAUUACGAAGGAGGAAAUGCGUAAACUAGAGAUAAAAGAGCCUCUGCCUAAGCUCGCACUCACAUACCCACCAAUUUCCAGCGUAGGAGAUUAAGCGUAGUUUUCUCUUUUGUGGUCGGAGUUGCGGACUCACUCACACACACAGUCACAGCUUGGAGCGAACAUAUGUCCGCCUAGGUGUGUGUAUGUGUGGAUAUUUCUGCUUGUUUACCUGUUGCUGCUCGUCAAUUGUUUUUACAUUUAGCCAGAAAAAUGUUUUCCUUCUACAACUGCGAGAACAGGCAACUAGUUCCGCACUGGUGCCGCACUAGCUACCAUUCUCACCUCCCUGGUUCCAGAUCGAUUACCCGCAAUGUAUUUCAGCGGAGAAUUUAACACAUGCAUGUCCUAGGGCGGAACCACCCCUGGUUCCCACUCGAUUACCCUUCGAUUACCCUUAGCUAGUUGCUCAGGAGGUAGUUCCGAACUAGUUACGAGUAGAAAGCCAGCAACUAGUUCCCCACUUGACUACCCCUCGAUUACCUGUAGCUAGCUCUGACCUAGUUACCAGUAACUAGUUCCGAACUGACUACUGGUGGUAGUAGUCAAUCUGGCAGUCUGGAAUAAUACAAAAAUAAAAACUCAAUGUCUUUCAAUAUAACGAAUAAUUUUUAAUUAUAUGAUGCUUAGCCUACUCCUGGUUUUUGGCAAGACACUUCUUUUUAAACACCCUUUUCUUCAUCCUUUGCAUUGCCUUCCGUACAGUGUUUUCGGGGGGCUCAUCGCCAGGCGGAAUACAUUCUGUAAUUAAUAUUUAUUUUAAUUUAUAUGAAAAAUUUUUACCAGUAACUAGUUCCGAACUGACUACUGGUGGUAGUAGUCAAUCUGGCAGUCUGGAAUAAUACAAAAAUAAAAACUCAAUGUCUUUCAAUAUAACGAAUAAUUUUUAAUUAUAUGAUGCUUAGCCUACUCCUGGUUUUUGGCAAGACACUUCUUUUUAAACACCCUUUUCUUCAUCCUUUGCAUUGCCUUCCGUACAGUGUUUUCGGGGGGCUCAUCGCCAGGCGGAA